CUGGAAGAUUCAUCCCAGUAGCCAAGUCAAAGUAUAACUCAACUUGUAAGUAACGCAAGGCACUAUAAAAGAUAAAUCCCUGACCAAACUCAAUUCUAGCCUAAGAACUCAUGGCCACGGAGACAUCAUCAUCAUUAUACUGCCUUUUCAUCUUCCACCUCUUUCUGUUCAUAGUUCAUCAACCAUCAAAUUGCCAACAAGAAUAUCUAAACAAUACCCAGUUGAACUGCGAUCAAAACCCUUCCAUUUCUAAAGGGUAUCUUUGCAAUGGCAAUCAAAUGCCAUGCCAG
rnacentral:misc_RNA from 1 species